UACGGAGGGUCAAGCGUUAUCCGGAAUCAUUGGGUUUAAAGGGUCCGCAGGCGGUCAAUUAAGUCAGAGGUGAAAUCCCGUCGCUCAACGACGGAACUGCCUUUGAUACUGGUUGACUUGAUUAUAUCGGAAGUAGAUAGAAUAAGUAGUGUAGCGGUGAAAUGCAUAGAGAUUACUUAGAAUACCGAUUGCGAAGGCAG
rnacentral:rRNA from 1 species